CCCUUGUGGAGGAGGACGCCGAAGGUGGGGCUAAUGACUGGGGUGAAGUCGUAACAAGGUAGCCGUACCGGAAGGUGCGGCUGGAUCACCUCCUAACAGGGAGACAACAAAAUGUUAAAUAUUAAUUUUGUCACCUUAGGUCGAUCGGUAUCUCACAUUCUUAAAUUAAUUUAAGGAUUUUAUUUCCUAAGUUUUUUCUAGGUCACACCCAUUACUUUUUCCUGGGCCAUUAGCUCAGGUGGUUAGAGCGCACCCCUGAUAAGGGUGAGGUCCCUGGUUCAAGUCCAGGAUGGCCCAUAUCUCUAUGUUGGGGGUAUAGCUCAGUUGGUAGAGCGCCUGCUUUGCAAGCAGGAUGUCAGCGGUUCGAGUCCGCUUACCUCCACUGAUCACCACCUCUUCCAUAAUUUUAUAGAAGGGAAUUGUUUUGAGUUGUGAUCAAAUUCUGAACGAAUCUAGCUUCCUAAUCAAACUUAUUAAGAUGCUGGACUCAUUGAAUUAAUUUCAUUGUUUUCAGAGAACCUUGACAACUGCAUAGAUUAUUUUUAAAGACAAUAAGCAUCUUUAAUGAUGCAGAUUUAUUAUUUGUGCGAAUGCAUUAAUAACAAUUCUAUUAAGCUGAUGCUUCAAUUUUUGAAGUUAUUGGUCAAGCUACAAAGGGCUCACGGAGGAUACCUAGGCACAC
rnacentral:misc_RNA from 1 species